GAUGAAGAACGUAGCGAAAUGCGAUAAGUAAUGUGAAUUGCAGAGUUUUGUGAAUCAUCGAAUCUUUGAACGCACAUUGCGCCCCUUGGUAUUCCGAGGGGCAUGCCUGUUCGAGCGUCAUUAUAACCCCUCAAGCUCAGCUUGGUGUUGGGGCCUGCUGCACUGGCAGCCCUUAAAAUCAGUGGCGGCGCCAUCUGGCUCUAAGCGUAGUAAUUCUUCUCGCUAUGGAGUCCUGGUGGAUGCUUGCCAUCAACCCCCAAUUUUUCUAUGGUUGACCUCGGAUCAGGUAGGGAUACCCGCUGAACUUAAGCAUAUCAAUAAGCGGAGGA
rnacentral:misc_RNA from 1 species